rnacentral:rRNA from 1 species
GCUGGCGGCACGCCUAACACAUGCAAGUCGAACGAAGUAGCAAUACUUAGUGGCAGACGGGUGAGUAACAUGUAGGUAUCUGCCCUUUGGCCUGGAAUAACACGAGGAAACUUGUGCUAAUACCGGAUAAGUCUUUACGGAGAAAGCUUUAUGCACCAUUGGAUGAGCCUGCACUUGAUUAGUUUGUUGGUGGGGUAAUGGCCUACCAAGACUGUGAUCAAUAGCUGAUUUGAGAGGAUGAUCAGCCACAUUGGGACUGAGACACGGCCCAAACUCCUACGGGAGGCAGCAGUGGGGAAUCUUGCACAAUGGAGGAAACUCUGAUGCAGCGAUGCCGCGUGAGUGAAGAAGGCCCUUGGGUUGUAAAGCUCUUUCGUCGGGGAAGAAAAUGACUGUACCCGAAUAAGAAGGUCCGGCUAACUUCGUGCCAGCAGCCGCGGUAAUACGAAGGGACCUAGCGUAGUUCGGAAUUACUGGGCUUAAAGAGUUCGUAGGUGGUUGAAAAAGUUAGUGGUGAAAUCCCAGAGCUUAACUCUGGAACUGCCAUUAAAACUUUUCAGCUAGAGUAUGAUAGAGGAAAGCAGAAUUUCUAGUGUAGAGGUGAAAUUCGUAGAUUAUUAGAAAGAAUACCAAUUGCGAAAGGCAGGCUUUCUGGAUCAUUACUGACACUGAGGGAACGAAAGCAUGGGGUAGCGAAGAGGAUUAAGAUACCCUCGUAGUCCAUGCCGUAAACGAUGUGUGUUAGACGUUGGAAAUUUAUUUUUCAGUGUCGCAGGGAAACCGAUAAACACACCGCCUGGGGAGUACGACCGCAAGGUUAAAACUCAAAUGAAUUGACGGGGACCCGCACAAGUAGUGGAGCAUGUGGUUUAAUUCGAAGAUACGCGCAGAACCUUACCAACACUUGACAUGUUCGUCGCGACUCUAAGAGAUUAGAGUUUUCGGUUCGGCCGGACGAAACACAGGUGCUGCAUGGCUGUCGUCAGCUCGUGUCGUGAGAUGUUGGGUUAAGUCCCGCAACGAGCGCAACCCUCACUUUUAGUUGCCAUCAUUAAGUUGGGCACUCUGAAAGAACUGCCAGUGAUAAGCUGGAGGAAGGUGGGGAUGACGUCAAGUCCUCAUGGCCCUUACGUGUUGGGCUACACACGUGCUACAAUGGUAUCUACAACAGGAAGCAAGACUGCGAAGUUAAGCAAAUCCCUAAAAGAUACCUCAGUUCGGAUUGCACUCUGCAACUCGAGUGCAUGAAGCUGGAAUUACUAGUAAUCGUGGAUCAGCGUGCCACGGUGAAUGCGUUCCCGGGUCUUGUACACACCGCCCGUCACACCAUGGGAGUUGGUUCUACCUUAAG